rnacentral:pre_miRNA from 1 species
CUAUUCAACACCUGGGGAUCUUGCUAAAAUGCAGAUUCUGAUUCACUAAGUCCAGGGUGGGGUCUUGAAUUUUGCAUUUCUAAUGAGCUCCCAGGUGAUGCUGAU